rnacentral:rRNA from 1 species
UUCGCAAUGCCCGAAAGGGUGACGAAGCGACGCCGCGUGUGGGAAGAAGGCCUUCGGGUUGUAAGCCACUGUUGGGAGUUAGGAAGUGUGGAGGUGUUAAUAGCGCUUUCACUUGACUAAAGCUCCAGAGGAAGCCACGGCUAACUCUGUGCCAGCAGCCGCGGUAAUACAGAGGCGGCAAGCGUUGUUCGGAAUUAUUGGGCGUAAAGAGCACGUAGGCGGCUCUGCAAGUCAGCUGUGAAAGCCUUCUGCUUAACGGAAGAACGGCAGUUGAAACUACAGGGCUUGAGUGCGGGAGGGGAGAGUGGAACUUCUGGUGGAGCGGUGAAAUGCGUAGAUAUCAGAAGGAACACCGGCGGCGAAAGCGGCUCUCUGGUCCGUAACUGACGCUGAGUGUGCGAAAGCUAGGGGAGCAAACGGGAUUAGAUACCCCGGUAGUCCUAGCCGUAAACGAUGGGCACUAAGUAGAGGGGUUUU